AGUGAACGCUGGCGGCGUGCUUAACACAUGCAAGUCGAACGAGAACGGGUUAUAGCUUGCUAUAAUUGUCAGCUAAGUGGCGCACGGGUGAGUAAUGUAUAGGUAAUAUGCCUCUUACUAAGGGAUAACAAAUGGAAACGUUUGCUAAUACCUUAUACUCCUCAUUAACAUAAGUUAAUAAGGGAAAGAUUUAUUGGUAAGAGAUUAGCCUGUAUUGUAUCAGUUAGUUGGUGGGGUAAUGGCUUACCAAGACUAUGACACAUAACUGGUUUGAGAGGAUGAUCAGUCACACUGGAACUGAGACACGGUCCAGACUCCUACGGGAGGCAGCAGUGGGGAAUAUUGCACAAUGGACGAAAGUCUGAUGCAGCAACGCCGCGUGGAGGAUGACACAUUUCGGUGCGUAAACUCCUUUUAUAUGAGAAGAUAAUGACGGUAUUAUAUGAAUAAGCACCGGCUAACUCCGUGCCAGCCGCCGCCGUAA
rnacentral:rRNA from 1 species